rnacentral:rRNA from 1 species
GAUCUGGCUCAGAUUGAACGCUGGCGGCAGGCCUAACACAUGCAAGUCGAGCGGUAGCACAGAGAGCUUGCUCUCGGGUGACGAGCGGCGGACGGGUGAGUAAUGUCUGGGAAACUGCCUGAUGGAGGGGGAUAACUACUGGAAACGGUAGCUAAUACCGCAUAACGUCGCAAGACCAAAGUGGGGGACCUUCGGGCCUCAUGCCAUCAGAUGUGCCCAGAUGGGAUUAGCUAGUAGGUGGGGUAACGGCUCACCUAGGCGACGAUCCCUAGCUGGUCUGAGAGGAUGACCAGCCACACUGGAACUGAGACACGGUCCAGACUCCUACGGGAGGCAGCAGUGGGGAAUAUUGCACAAUGGGCGCAAGCCUGAUGCAGCCAUGCCGCGUGUGUGAAGAAGGCCUUCGGGUUGUAAAGCACUUUCAGCGGGGAGGAAGGCGUUAAGGUUAAUAACCUUGGCGAUUGACGUUACCCGCAGAAGAAGCACCGGCUAACUCCGUGCCAGCAGCCGCGGUAAUACGGAGGGUGCAAGCGUUAAUCGGAAUUACUGGGCGUAAAGCGCACGCAGGCGGUCUGUCAAGUCGGAUGUGAAAUCCCCGGGCUCAACCUGGGAACUGCAUUCGAAACUGGCAGGCUAGAGUCUUGUAGAGGGGGGUAGAAUUCCAGGUGUAGCGGUGAAAUGCGUAGAGAUCUGGAGGAAUACCGGUGGCGAAGGCGGCCCCCUGGACAAAGACUGACGCUCAGGUGCGAAAGCGUGGGGAGCAAACAGGAUUAGAUACCCUGGUAGUCCACGCCGUAAACGAUGUCGAUUUGGAGGUUGUGCCCUUGAGGCGUGGCUUCCGGAGCUAACCCGCUAGAUCGACCGCC